rnacentral:misc_RNA from 1 species
CUAAAACUUGAAAAAAAUGGAACAAGGGUCCAUUCCUUCUCCUCAUAUACUCAUCUUUCCUGCCCAAGGCCAAGGACAUGUAACCGCCACGCUCAAGCUAGCAGAGCUUUUGAGCCUUGCUGGCUUUAAGAUUACCUUCAUAAAUUAUGUACAUGAACGUCUCGUUCGUAAUACGGAUGUUGAAGCUCGUUUCUCCAAAUAUCAUGGAUUCCAAUUCAAAACCAUACCAGUUUGUCGGCCAGACGAUCCUCAAUGGACUGAGCGGUUGAGAAAGUUAUCGGUGAAGAGCAAGCCAAUUUUUAAGAGGAUGGUGAUUGAGAGUAAACCAACAGUUAACUAUAUCAUAGGAGACGGGGUGUUGGGAUUUGUCCAUGAUGUUGCCGUUGAGAUUGGAAUUCCUGCUAUUCAGAUGCAUUGCAUCAGUGCUUGCUCCUUCUGGACUUU